rnacentral:lncRNA from 1 species
AAUAGUUUAGGUAUUAAAUUCAUGUAAUUAUUGGAGAUAAAUAGGGGUAAAAAUGUGUGAAUAACGAGUGUCAACAGGCACGCACGGUAGCUUACUUAGCUAUUAAGCAAGACCAGAGUGGUCUCGAGCUGAGAACAAGUGCCGAGCGGCGUACGUGGAAUGGACUCCACUAGAGCUAAAACUAGUGGACCGGUCCCGAUUGAUCGGUUGAGCCCACUCAUCACUACUCG